rnacentral:tRNA from 1 species
GCCUGGCUGGCUCAACUAGUAGAGCUUGAGACUAUAGAUCUCAGUGUCAUGAGUUCAAGCCCCAUGUUGGGGG